rnacentral:rRNA from 1 species
CUAUGCGCCUUGCCAGCCCGCUCAGUCAGAGUUUGAUCCUGGCUCAGGACGAACGCUGGCGGCAUGCCUAAUACAUGCAAGUCGAACGAUGACGUCACUGCUUGCAGUGACUGAUUAGUGGCGAACGGGUGAGUAACACGUGAGGAACUUGCCCAUGAGCGGGGGACAACAUUCGGAAACGGAUGCUAAUACCCCAUAGGUGGAUUGGUCGCAUGACGAAUUCAUUAAAGGUGGCUUUGCUACCACUCAUGGAUAGCCUCGCGGCGUAUUAGCUAGUUGGUAAGGUAAUGGCUUACCAAGGCAGUGAUACGUAGCCGACUUGAGAGGGUGAUCGGCCACACUGGGACUGAGACACGGCCCAG